rnacentral:rRNA from 1 species
UACGUAGGGUGCAAGCGUUGUCCGGAAUUAUUGGGCGUAAAGAGCGUGUAGGCGGCCCGAUUAGUCUGCUGUGAAAGUCCAGGGCUCAACCCUGGAAUGCCGGUGGAAACUGUCGGGCUAGAGUCCGGAAGAGGCGAGUGGAAUCCUGGUGUAGCGGUGAAAAUGCGCAGAUAUCAGGAGGAACACCAAUGGCGAAGGCAGCUCGCUGGGACGGUACUGACGCUGAGGAGCGAAAAGCCAGGGGAGCAAACGGG